AGAGUUUGAUCCUGGCUCAGGAUGAACGCUGGCGGCGUGCCUAACACAUGCAAGUCGAGCGAUUUACUUCGGUAAAGAGCGGCGGACGGGUGAGUAACGCGUGGGUAACCUGCCCUGUACACACGGAUAACAUACCGAAAGGUAUGCUAAUACGAGAUAAUAUGCUUUUAUCGCAUGGUAGAAGUAUCAAAGCUUUUGCGGUACAGGAUGGACCCGCGUCUGAUUAGCCAGUUGGUAAGGUAACGGCUUACCAAGGCGACGAUCAGUAGCCGACCUGAGAGGGUGAUCGGCCACAUUGGAACUGAGACACGGUCCAAACUCCUACGGGAGGCAGCAGUGGGGAAUAUUGCACAAUGGGCGAAAGCCUGAUGCAGCAACGCCGCGUGAGCGAUGAAGGCCUUCGGGUCGUAAAGCUCUGUCCUCAAGGAAGAUAAUGACGGUACUUGAGGAGGAAGCCCCGGCUAACUACGUGCCAGCAGCCGCGGUAAUACGUAGGGGGCUAGCGUUAUCCGGAAUUACUGGGCGUAAAGGGUGCGUAGGUGGUUUCUUAAGUCAGAGGUGAAAGGCUACGGCUCAACCGUAGUAAGCCUUUGAAACUGGGAAACUUGAGUGCAGGAGAGGAGAGUGGAAUUCCUAGUGUAGCGGUGAAAUGCGUAGAUAUUAGGAGGAACACCAGUUGCGAAGGCGGCUCUCUGGACUGUAACUGACACUGAGGCACGAAAGCGUGGGGAGCAAACAGGAUUAGAUACCCUGGUAGUCCACGCCGUAAACGAUGAGUACUAGCUGUCGGAGGUUACCCCCUUCCGUGCCGCAGUUAACACAAUAAGUAUUCCACCUGGGGAGUACGACCGCAAGGUUGAAACUCAAAGGAAUUGACGGGGGCCCGCACAAGCAGCGGAGCAUGUGGUUUAAUUCGAAGCAACGCGAAGAACCUUACCUAGACUUGACAUCUCCUGCAUUACCCUUAAUCGGGGAAGUUCCUUCGGGAACAGGAAGACAGGUGGUGCAUGGUUGUCGUCAGCUCGUGUCGUGAGAUGUUGGGUUAAGUCCCGCAACGAGCGCAACCCUUAUUGUUAGUUGCUACCAUUUAGUUGAGCACUCUAGCGAGACUGCCCGGGUUAACCGGGAGGAAGGUGGGGAUGACGUCAAAUCAUCAUGCCCCUUAUGUCUAGGGCUACACACGUGCUACAAUGGCUGGUACAGAGAGAUGCGAUACCGUGAGGUGGAGCCAAACUUCAAAACCAGUCUCAGUUCGGAUUGUAGGCUGAAACUCGCCUACAUGAAGCUGGAGUUGCUAGUAAUCGCGAAUCAGAAUGUCGCGGUGAAUACGUUCCCGGGCCUUGCACACACCGCCCGUCA
rnacentral:rRNA from 1 species